AUGAAGGCCUUCGGGUUGUAAAGCCCUGUUAGGUGGGAAGAAGGGUCCAGAGGUAAAUAAUCUUUGGAUUUUGACGGUACCACCGGAGAAAGGACCGGCUAACUCCGUGC
rnacentral:rRNA from 1 species